UGGGGAAUAUUGCACAAUGGGCGCAAGCCUGAUGCAGCCAUGCCGCGUGUGUGAAGAAGGCCUUCGGGUUGUAAAGCACUUUCAGCGAGGAGGAAGGGUUCAGUGUUAAUAGCACUGUGCAUUGACGUUACUCGCAGAAGAAGCACCGGCUAACUCCGUG
rnacentral:rRNA from 1 species